UGGGGAAUAUUGCACAAUGGGCGCAAGCCUGAUGCAGCCAUGCCGCGUGUGUGAAGAAGGCCUUCGGGUUGUAAAGCACUUUCAGCGGGGAGGAAGUCGAUAAGGUUAAUAACCUUGUCGAUUGACGUUACCCGCAGAAGAAGCACCGGCUAACUCCGUGCCAGCAGCCGCGGUAAUACGGAGGGUGCAAGCGUUAAUCGGAAUUACUGGGCGUAAAGCGCACGCAGGCGGUCUGUCAAGUCGGAUGUGAAAUCCCCGGGCUUAACCUGGGAACUGCAUUCGAAACUGGCAGGCUAGAGUCUUGUAGAGGGGGGUAGAAUUCCAGGUGUAGCGGUGAAAUGCGUAGAGAUCUGGAGGAAUACCGGUGGCGAAGGCGGCCCCCUGGACAAAGACUGACGCUCAGGUGCGAAAGCGUGGGGAGCAAACAGG
rnacentral:rRNA from 1 species